AAUCAAGCGUUUAAGGGCGAUUGGCGGAUGCCUUGGCACUGAAAGACGAUGAAGGACGUGGUAUACUGCGAUAAGUUUCGGGGAGCUGUAUGCAGGCUUUGAUCCGAAAAUUUCCGAAUGGGGAAACCCAACACUUCGUGUGUUACUUUAUACUGAAUACAUAGGUAUAAAGGGUGAACCUGGAGAACUGAAACAUCUAAGUAACCAGAGGAAAAGAAAUCAAUUGAGACUCCGUGAGUAGUGGCGAGCGAAAGCGGACUAGGCCAGCAACUUAGUUUAGACAAUUUGAAUAGUUUGGAAAAACUAACCACAGAGGGUGACAGUCCCGUAAAAGUAAUGCUAAUCUAAGUUCUUGAGUAAAGCGGGACACGUGAAAUCCUGCUCGAAUUAUGGGGGACCACCCUCUAAGCCUAAGUACUCUACAGUGACNNNNNNNNNNAAGGUGAAAAGAACCCCUAUUAGGGGAGUGAAAUAGAACCUGAAACCGAUUGCCUACAAACAGUCGAAGCUCUUUUUAGAGUGACGGCGUACCUUUUGUAUAAUGGGUCAGUGACUUAAUUUAUAUUGCAAGCUUAAGCCGAUUAGGUGGAGGCGCAGCGAAAGCGAGUCUUAAUAGGGCGUUUAGUUGUAUGAAUUAGACCCGAAAACGAAUGAGCUUACCAUGAACAGGUUGAAAGUUGGGUAACACCAACCGGAGGACCGAACCAGUUGACGUUGAAAAGUCUUUGGAUGAUUUGUGGUAAGGGGUGAAAGGCCAACCAAAUUCGUAGAUAGCUGGUUUUCCGCGAAAACU
rnacentral:rRNA from 1 species